GACGAACGCUGGCGGCGUGCUUAACACAUGCAAGUCGAACGGAAAGGCCCUGCUUUUGUGGGGUGCUCGAGUGGCGAACGGGUGAGUAACACGUGGGUAACCUGCCCUUGACUUUGGGAUAACUUCAGGAAACUGGGGCUAAUACCGGAUAGGAGCUCCUGCUGCAUGGUGGGGGUUGGAAAGUUUCGGCGGUUGGGGAUGGACUCGCGGCUUAUCAGCUUGUUGGUGGGGUAGUGGCUUACCAAGGCUUUGACGGGUAGCCGGCCUGAGAGGGUGACCGGCCACAUUGGGACUGAGAUAGGGCCCAGACUCCUACGGGAGGCAGCAGUGGGGAAUAUUGCACAAUGGGCGGAAGCCUGAUGCAGCAACGCCGCGUGCGGGAUGACGGCCUUCGGGUUGUAAACCGCUUUCGCCUGUGACGAAGCGUGAGUGACGGUAAUGGGUAAAGAAGCACCGGCUAACUACGUG
rnacentral:rRNA from 1 species